GUGCUCACUUUGGCAGCACAUGUACUAAAAUCGGAAUGAUGCAGGAUGAGCGUGGGCCCUGCACAAGGAUGACACGCAAAUUCGUGAAGCGUUCCAUAUUUUG
rfam:Pteropus alecto contig27370, whole genome shotgun sequence.